CUAAGGAGGAAGAAUUUCCCUGCCAGAAAAAGAGAGAAGUCUGAAUGCCAGAGCAGUGUUGGUCACUGCAGUAGGAUAAAACCUGAUCCUACCUUAUUCAGUGAGAAGGAACACUGCUGAUGAGAAAUCUGUCUAAGAAGCCGCAUUGCAUGAGAUGGAAGAUCUAUUAAUCUAAUCUAAUCUGGAGCAGACUGACAUUACUGCACCAUAGGUUGCCUGAUACCAGCUAGAGAUAAUCCUUCCCCGAGGAGGUGUAACUUUCAGAUGCUCAGAGGUUAGCUCAUCUUUUCCUGCAUUAAUGCAUGAAUAUUUCUGUCCUAAGAACACUUAACAUGGGAAAGGUAACAUCUAACAGCCUUAGAGUCCUGCCAGCGCUGGGACACAAAACUGAAACUUUGCCUAUUAUAACAAGAAGAGCCUUUUUGUAGUUUUAAAAUAAACAUUACAAUUUACCACUGGCAAAUGUAAUUAUAUCAAAAUCAAAACAUAUCAAAAUGUGAUU